GACGGCGUAGCUCAGCUGGAAGAGCAUUGGGCUAGUAUUCCAAAGGUCGUAGGUUCGAAUCCCACCGUGGCCG
rnacentral:tRNA from 1 species